ACGAACGCUGGCGGCAUGCCUAACACAUGCAAGUCGCACGAGACCUUCGGGUCUAGUGGCGCACGGGUGCGUAACGCGUGGGAACCUGCCCUUAGGUUCGGAAUAACUCCCCGAAAGGGGUGCUAAUACCGGAUAAUGUCUUCGGACCAAAGAUUUAUCGCCUUUGGAUGGGCCCGCGUUGGAUUAGCUAGUUGGUAGGGUAAAAGCCUACCAAGGCGACGAUCCAUAGCUGGUCUGAGAGGAUGAUCAGCCACACUGGGACUGAGACACGGCCCAGACUCCUACGGGAGGCAGCAGUGGGGAAUAUUGGACAAUGGGCGAAAGCCUGAUCCAGCAAUGCCGCGUGAGUGAUGAAGGCCUUAGGGUUGCAAAGCUCUUUUACCCGGGAUGAUAAUGACAGUACCGGGAGAAUAAGCUCCGGCUAACUCCGUG
rnacentral:rRNA from 1 species